rnacentral:lncRNA from 1 species
GAGAAAAAUGUGCCUUGACUAGGUGAGUUUUUUUCACUUUAGAUGCCAUUAUAAGUUUAAUGCAUAGUUAAGUGUGUUUGGAAAGUCCUAUACGAGCAAACUUUAGUCCCUCUAUAAAGUCUGAGCACAUUUUCCCACACGAUCUGUGCUGUCAGCUGCACGUUAUUGCUUCCUUUUUUUUAACAGCCCAGUUCCCAACUGUGCUGACAGAGACACUGAUACAAUAUUUAUAAAAGCUCUACUCUCAUUUAGUUGAUUUUAUCCGAAACACGACACCUGCAACAGCAAAACUUGGAAACAGACUCUGAACCAAAUCUUGUCUUGUUGCCUCAAAUCAUACGAACGCUUACUGACUGCUGAUUUAUAACUGUUUCAAGUUUUAAUGGUUGUCUCAUAGUCUAGUAUACUUCCCUGAAAAGUGAGAAGAGGAUGAUGAAUUUCUAGUCCAUGCAGAAAUGGAAAACCUGCAACUUUAAAAGACAGUUUGUGUAUGAAGUCUGUUGUGUUUGCAGCUUUUUCCCCUAAAGCCUGUUUGUAGCUUGGGGUUAAUUUCUAAUCUACUCUGUUUUUUGGGGGGAGCUAUCCACAGCAGAGGUUGCGCCCCGUUUUUUAUUUUUUGUUUUUGCAGGACAGCAGGGUAAACUGGUUCACCUCAUGGACAUGGUGGAGAUAUGACAGGACAAACUACUGUAAAGUCCUAGAGGUGAGAAGCACAGGUCUCCAGCACAGACAGGUUUUGGUUCAGGCACUAACACAUAUUUCAUCACAGGCUGGCUUAGCACAGCUCACCAAGACCAGCCUGAGCCCAUGGGAGAAAAAAACAUUACAAUACGAGAGGAAACCUCCAGAAUUGAAAAAUGAAGCCAAUGUAAAAGUGCAAAAUAAUACAGCUCCUCUAGUUUCCUCUUGAGGCUGGCUGAGAAAGCACUGGUAGGUCCUGCUUCAACAUACUCAAAAGCCUCAACUCUGCUCCUUGCUAUAGUUGGAUUUCAAGCCCAUCUCUUCACGAUGCCACAAAGGCUACUCUCAUGUUUUUCACAGCCUUUUCUUAGGAG